rnacentral:lncRNA from 1 species
UAAGCAGCAGAUGAAAGCAUACAAAAGCCUUCAGGCACAUAAAUAUUUUACAGCUGGAUUUGUUUUGAAACUUGGAGUAAAAAUUCUUAAUGAUUUCUAUAUUAUUGUUGGAAAGGUGAAUCAUUUUCAAAAAGCUAAUGCUAAACGACUAAAUGCUUGGGUGGGGUGAUAGCCAGUUCUGAUGACAUAACAAAUGCACAUUGUAUGCGUAUGGCCAGUAAUAGUGAAGUCUGCAGCCACAUUGCAGCAAUCCUAUUUUUAGCUGAGUAUGCCCACGGCAAGACAAACGAAGAAGAAUCCAAUGCAUGUAUAUAUGUUACAGCUACAUGGUUUGGAGAUAGCAACAUAUGCAUUCUCUGAUGAAAAACUAAUGAGUUUUGAAACUGUUCGGUCAGAGUGCUUGUUGCGCUCACUAAACGAACUGAAAUAUAAGACGGCUUUGGCAUUGUGUUGCAGCGAUAUGAAAAUGGUUAUUCAUUUUUAAUUAUAAUGUACUUCUUCAUCAUGAAUAAUUAUGUAUUGGUCUUUUAAGUGUGUAUUUAUUUUUGUAAUUAGUAUCAACUUGUAAUGAUAAUAUACAUUUAUCGUUUAAGGUA